rnacentral:lncRNA from 1 species
UACAGUUCAGUGUACGACAAGAACGCUGAUGAUCAGAUCCACUCUGAACCUGUUCCUGAUGAUGUGAUCCAGGCAACUCAAUCCACCAAAUACUGGGCCCCAAACCCACAUACUGGGGUAUUUGGGCCCCCAGGAGAGCACGCCAGUGGCUUCCAUUCAGCCAGCUCCACCACGAAUGCAAGUGCUGCUGCAGGUUCUGUGCUGGAGGAAAAGGCUUGGUUUCGUCCCACCAGCAUUGAGGACUUGGAGAAGCCCCACCCUAAUCCUUAAUAGUUC